GGGUCAGUAGGGUGGUCGUGCCACCGGUACGUACUGGUCUCACUGAUUCCUCCUUCCUGAAGAACCGUAAUGCCAUUAAUUUGGUGUUGCGGGGAAACAGGACUGUUACUUUGAAAAAAUUAGAGUGUUUAAAGCAAGCUAACGCUUGAAUACAUUAGCAUGGAAUAAUGAAAUAGGACGAUCGAUCCUCUUUUGUUGGUUUCUAGGAUUGACGUA
rnacentral:rRNA from 1 species